UGUUGCUGUUAAAGGCUUUUCUUCUAGCCAUGGUUUGCUCUUGUGGCUUCUCACAAGUUAAUCUGACCCAGCCUCAACUGUCCAUCACCAGGGAAGAAAGUAAAACCAUACGAAUUGACUGCCGUGUUACUGUCCCAGAAGAUUUUGGCCAGGCUUAUAUCCACUGGUACAGACAGAGAUCGGGUGCAGCUCCGGAGCGGAUUCUGUACAUCUCAACGCAGACUGUCUUUGACAGAGACUCAGACAAGGGAAAGUUUAAUGCUGAAAAGAAGAAGAUCGGCCAGCCUACCUGUACCCUGAUCAUAUACAAAACAUCCCUCAAUGACACUGCUACAUAUUAUUGUGCCUACUGGGAUCGCACAGUGUUACAGAACAGUACGCCACCUGUACAAAAACCCACUCUGCCAUUCAAACCACAGGUUUUCCAGUGUAUGAGGCACUUUCAUUGCUCUCCCAUCAUGUCUUAG